UAUUCCACACACAUACAAAUUCACAACUAUAAAAAAUCAUAUUAGAAAUGUGAGACAACACUUAAUUAUUGGAUAAUUGGUAGAGUACUUGGGAUGAACACAACCAGAGUAUUGCAUUUACCUGGGUUAUUCUCCAAUUCUAAUAUCUAAAUCACCAAGGCAACUUCCAAAUGAUAAAGAGUUGCACGCUAUUCUCUUCCUCUAUGUUCACAUCAUGUAGUGUACUCAAAUUAGAUAGAAACAAAAAGGAUUGACAAAUUGAACUAAAUCUUUUGCAAAAUCAUGCUUUACAAUUGAAAUGUGAACAUAAAACAUUUGGACCAAUUGGACCAACCGUAAAUAUUAUAAUUAUUAUUCUGAUUAAGUUUGUGAUGAACAAGAAUGAAAUUUUACCUAGUUUUCAGUAGCAUUUUGCAUUUGUAUUCAAUUUUAUUCUUCAAGACAUCAAUUUGUGAAACUUUCUCCUUAAAUGCACUGAUUUCAGCCUGUAUUAAAGCAGCAGAAAAACAAAUAGACAUUGGCAUAAGUUGAAUUCCAUAUUUAUAGGCUCUAGAGGAGUCACAUUAUGAAAUAUGCUAACACUUUAUAAAUGAACAUGGGAAACAUUGAUUUUCAUAGCAUUGAAUUCCUGAAGAAUCAACAACUCAUGGUGAAUACAAGUGCUCUUAGUAUCGUAGAUAAAUGUUUGCGUAUGAUGUUAUUCUACUUCCAUGAGCUAGUUUAGGACGAAAGUAGGGUCAGAAAAUAGAAGAAGUUGUGGACUAAAGAUAAAAUAUAAUAGAAAAUACAGAACCAAGAAUGAAAGAGCCAUACACCAAAGAGAAUGAAAGGCCUAAUUAAGACAACCAACAGUCACAUUGUGCACCAAGAAAAUCACUAAAAAAUAUGGAUUUAAAACCAAGAAAACAAAAUAAUAGACUAUCAGGAAAUAAACAACUAAUUGUUUUUUAUUCCAUCAAUAUAAAAAUGUAAAUAGCUAAAAGUCAAGGUGCUAACAUUAUCAAAUAUCAUAAACCCUGCACAUUUUAAGGCCCUCAUGUAGGACACCAAAGGAAAAUGCAGAGAACAACAUUCCUAAGAUCGUUGAAUUGUGAGUUGCAUUUUAAAUGACAUUCACAGUAUAUAAACCAUAAAUGUAUUCAUGUCUUACCAUCAAAAUAAACAAAAAUGUUAUGAAUAAAUUUAAAAAGUCUAAACCUUCUGUUCAUCCAACUUUUGUUUGAUUUUCUCUGUAGCCCUUCUCUCUUCCUAUUUCGCUUCUUUUCUCAAAGAUAACAACCUGCAAAAGGAAGCAGAAUUUUAUUGUAGUUGGCUGCAUUUAAAUUAAACGAUAGGAUGUGAGACAACUAGGUGAGUCAAACCUCUUUGCUUCAAGUUAGUCCUCGUCAACUCGAAUUCUCUCAUGAAUAAGAAAACAAAGAUAAAGUGAACUACUUCUCAAAUAUUGACGGCAAAACAUGUAUAUGGCAAAUUGAGAUUCAUACGAUGAUAUUAGGAUAUUUGUAUAUUUUUAACAAGCUAUGGUAGUAUUAUUCAUGAGAAUCAUGACAUGGCAGAUUUCUCUGCACAGGUGCAUAAAGAAAAGCAAGCAAAAAAAUGUUAGAUACCAUUUUGAUGCCAAUUUAUGUCCGUUUAAAAUUAUCUACAUAUGGGACUUUCUCUUCUCUUCUUCUUUCUUCUUUUGAGUCUACUCACUUAAGAUUAUAGCUCAAAAACAUUAAAUGGCUACACGGACUAGUAACAAUAAAUGUAGAAAAUACACUUCCAUCACCCAUCCCUCGUCUCAUCUCAACUCUUCAACAUUCAACACCACACAAAUGUAACCAUAUAUAGAAAGCAUACAUAGACAAAAUAAACAUAACUAUGAAAACAAUGUAUCAAGGGAACCCAAGGAACCCUAUAUGAAAAGAUAGAGCCAUUGAUGCUGCCUAAUUGAUUUAGGAUUUAGCAGUAAGACCAUUGUUACCUUGUUUAAUAGAAGAUUGAGGCAGUUCUUCGCUGCAGCUAAAUCUCCUUUUUUCCAUGAGAUGGGUUCAACUUAACCUGGACCAUAGAAGAGACAAAUACUAAAUAAAUCACUUCAACAUCAAUAUAAAGACAUUAAAUCGCAUAAUUAAAUCACAUAAGUGUAUUUAGUGAGGAUAUGAAAUUUGCCACAAGUUUUAAAGAUAUAUGGUAAGAAUCUAACAUGAAUAGCAUACUUACUUUCACACUGGCAGAUGAAACUGCUGCAUAACACUUGUAGUAUUUGACAGAGAUGUUCAAAAUCUACUUAACACAAAAGAAACUAACUGAGUUGUUGGAAAAUCACUCUGCCAAUGAAUUACCUUCAAUUCUACAUCUAGAUGACCAUCAAUUUCACACUUUAUCUUCUCAAGAAGAUUCAUAUAACUACCUAACACAAUCUAGUCUUUAGUAAAGACUCUUUACUAAUUGGAGAAGAAAACAUGUUUUUUUUUUCCUCAAUUAGCAAUAGAAUGAGUCAAAGUUCAUUUGUAAUCAAUCAAUUAUAAAUAAAAAAAUAGAAUCUUGUUUUUUUCUCACACACUUGAAUAACCGCAAAUCGAAAAGAAAGUAUAAAAUAGAACUAUGAAUUUAUAUAAGAAUUUGAAAUGCUUAAAGAAGGAUUUUUGUUGAAAAGUAAGUAACAACCCAAUAAGGUCGAGUGCAAAAAAUUAUCCCGCAUCUGGGUCAUCAUGUUGAAAGCAAUAGUUAGAAAUUCCAAUAAAAAGGGUUUUUAUUCAGUAAUGAAACUGUGAAUGCAACAAUCAUAAAGCGGGGGAAAAAUAACGUGUGAAUUAAAGCUGAGAAGUGAAACUAGUUUUCGCUACAGAAGAAGGAGAAGAAGAAUAAGAGAAACCCAAAUACCUAAAGACGUUCUGAUGAGACGAGGUUCAAUUGAAAUGAAUGAUGGAGAAUGAUGAAGAUUUUCUGGGUUCAACAAGUUCUGGAACGAUGGACGAUGGUGAAUGAUGGGGGAAGAGGGUUUUAGGGUUUCAACGAGUUCUGGGUUAUGAAUUAUGGUUUCAACAAGUUCUAAGAUUUUGGGGUUUAGGGUUUCAACGAGUUCGUGAUUGAGGUUGCGUGACGACGAAAGACAACUGUGACAGUUUUUGGGUUCAAUUGAUCAGGAAAAUAAUGGAGAGUGAGUGAGGGUGAGUGAACAAUGAUGAAGGAUUUUAGGUUUAAAUUGAUUGAGUGAG
rnacentral:lncRNA from 1 species